rnacentral:tRNA from 2 species
GGAGGAGUGGCCGAGUGGUUUAAGGCGGCGGUCUUGAAAACCGUUGAACCGCGAGGUUCCGGGGGUUCGAAUCCCCCCUCCUCCGCCA